rnacentral:rRNA from 1 species
GAUGAACGCUGGCGGCGUGCCUAAUACAUGCAAGUCGAGCGAACAGAGGAGGUGCUUCCUUCUCAGACGUGACGGGCGGGCGGGUGAGUCGCACGUGAAUUACCUACGGAAAAGGGUGAGAUAACGUCGACAAACCAGAGCAAAUACCAGAUAAUUUAAUGUACCGCGCGGUUCAAUAAAAAAAGACGGUUGCGGAGUCACUUGCAGAUGGUUCGGGGCCGGAUUAGCUAGUUGGUAGGGUAACGGAUUACAAAGGCAACGCUUAGUAGCCGACCUGGGAGGGUUAUGGGCCACGCUGGAACGGAGACACGGUCCAAACUCCUCCGGGAGGCGGCAGUAGGGAAUCUUCGGCAAUGGGCGAAGGCCUAACGGAGAAACGCGGCGUGAGUGAUGAAGGUCUUCGGUUCGUAAGACUCUGUUAUUAGGAAAGAACAAAGGUGUAAGUAACUAUGCACGUCGUGACGGUACCUAAUCAGAAAGCCACGGCUAACUACGUG